AUGAAAUUUCUAAUAUUGUCUAACAUUGUAUUUGAACUAUAACUUUCUGGACUAUCAAAGUUCUUUCUGCUUUUCCCUCCAUUCAUUCUUGAAUUUAUUUGUUCGUUAAAUUGUCUGUAACAGAAAUCUCAUCCAGAAUCUCAUCUCAGGGUUCCUGCAAUAAGCACAUGCUCUUGAAGAUAUGGAACUCACACCUAAGUUUCUAGGCUCAAAUGUCAUUCAACCUCAAAAUUACAAACCUGCUUCAGUUGAUGGCAAGUGUUUGUAACACCCCAAAUUUAAGGUAGUUGAAGAAUUCACGGACCAUAGUAUCGAUCAAGUUCUCAUUUAUGCGUCAGUUUGAUUAGAUUAGGUCACACAUACAUGUAAUAUUACAGUAAAUUUAUCUUUUGGAUUAUUGUAAAAUCUUUA